AGAGUUUGAUCAUGGCUCAGAUUGAACGCUGGCGGCAGGCCUAACACAUGCAAGUCGAGCGGUAGCACAGAGAGCUUGCUCUCGGGUGACGAGCGGCGGACGGGUGAGUAAUGUCUGGGAAACUGCCUGAUGGAGGGGGAUAACUACUGGAAACGGUAGCUAAUACCGCAUAAUGUCGCAAGACCAAAGUGGGGGACCUUCGGGCCUCAUGCCAUCAGAUGUGCCCAGAUGGGAUUAGCUAGUAGGUGGGGUAACGGCUCACCUAGGCGACGAUCCCUAGCUGGUCUGAGAGGAUGACCAGCCACACUGGAACUGAGACACGGUCCAGACUCCUACGGGAGGCAGCAGUGGGGAAUAUUGCACAAUGGGCGCAAGCCUGAUGCAGCCAUGCCGCGUGUGUGAAGAAGGCCUUCGGGUUGUAAAGCACUUUCAGCGGGGAGGAAGGCGUUGAGGUUAAUAACCUUGCCGAUUGACGUUACCCGCAGAAGAAGCACCGGCUAACUCCGUGCCAGCAGCCGCGGUAAUACGGAGGGUGCAAGCGUUAAUCGGAAUUACUGGGCGUAAAGCGCACGCAGGCGGUCUGUCAAGUCGGAUGUGAAAUCCCCGGGCUCAACCUGGGAACUGCAUUCGAAACUGGCAGGCUAGAGUCUUGUAGAGGGGGGUAGAAUUCCAGGUGUAGCGGUGAAAUGCGUAGAGAUCUGGAGGAAUACCGGUGGCGAAGGCGGCCCCCUGGACAAAGACUGACGCUCAGGUGCGAAAGCGUGGGGAGCAAACAGGAUUAGAUACCCUGGUAGUCCACGCCGUAAACGAUGUCGAUUUGGAGGUUGUGCCCUUGAGGCGUGGCUUCCGGAGCUAACGCGUUAAAUCGACCGCCUGGGGAGUACGGCCGCAAGGUUAAAACUCAAAUGAAUUGACGGGGGCCCGCACAAGCGGUGGAGCAUGUGGUUUAAUUCGAUGCAACGCGAAGAACCUUACCUGGUCUUGACAUCCACAGAACUUUCCAGAGAUGGAUUGGUGCCUUCGGGAACUGUGAGACAGGUGCUGCAUGGCUGUCGUCAGCUCGUGUUGUGAAAUGUUGGGUUAAGUCCCGCAACGAGCGCAACCCUUAUCCUUUGUUGCCAGCGGUUCGGCCGGGAACUCAAAGGAGACUGCCAGUGAUAAACUGGAGGAAGGUGGGGAUGACGUCAAGUCAUCAUGGCCCUUACGACCAGGGCUACACACGUGCUACAAUGGCAUAUACAAAGAGAAGCGACCUCGCGAGAGCAAGCGGACCUCAUAAAGUAUGUCGUAGUCCGGAUUGGAGUCUGCAACUCGACUCCAUGAAGUCGGAAUCGCUAGUAAUCGUAGAUCAGAAUGCUACGGUGAAUACGUUCCCGGGCCUUGUACACACCGCCCGUCACACCAUGGGAGUGGGUUGCAAAAGAAGUAGGUAGCUUAACCUUCGGGAGGGCGCUUACCACUUUGUGAUUCAUGACUGGGGUGAAGUCGUAACAAGGUAACCGUAGGGGAACCUGCGGUUGGAUCACCU
rnacentral:rRNA from 1 species